UACGUAGGGUGCGAGCGUUUGUCCGGAAUUAUUGGGCGUAAAGAGCUCGUAGGCGGUUUGUUGCGUCGGCCGUGAAAACUUGGGGCUUAACUCCAAGCUUGCGGUCGAUACGGGCAGACUUGAGUUCGGCAGGGGAGACUGGAAUUCCUGGUGUAGCGGUGAAAUGCGCAGAUAUCAGGAGGAACACCGGUGGCGAAGGCGGGUCUCUGGGCCGAUAUCGACGCUGAGGAGCGAAAGCGUGGGGAGCGAACAGG
rnacentral:rRNA from 1 species